rnacentral:rRNA from 1 species
UACGGAGGGGGCUAGCGUUGUUCGGAAUUACUGGGCGUAAAGCGCGCGUAGGCGGCUUUGUAAGUUAGAGGUGAAAGCCCGGAGCUCAACUCCGGAAUAGCCUUUAAGACUGCAUCGCUAGAACGUUGGAGAGGUAAGUGGAAUUCCGAGUGUAGAGGUGAAAUUCGUAGAUAUUCGGAAGAACACCAGUGGCGAAGGCGACUUACUGGACAACUGUUGACGCUGAGGUGCGAAAGCGUGGGGAGCAAACAGG